rnacentral:rRNA from 1 species
CCUACGUGAGGCAGCAGUGGGGAAUAUUGCGCAAUGGGCGAAAGCCUGACGCAGCGACGCCGCGUGAGGGAUGAAGGUCUUCGGAUCGUAAACCUCUGUCAGCAGGGAAGAACGGUCACUGUGCUAAUCAGCAGUGAAUUGACGGUACCUGCAAAGGAAGCACCGGCUAACUCCGUGCCAGCAGCCGCGGUAAUACGGAGGGUGCGAGCGUUAAUCGGAAUUACUGGGCGUAAAGCGCUCGUAGGCGGUAUGUCAAGUCAAGGGUGAAAUCCCCGCGCUCAACGUGGGAACUGCCUUUGAAACUGGCAAACUGGAGUGUGUGAGAGGAUAGUUGAAUUCCAGGUGUAGGAGUGAAAUCCGUAGAUAUCUGGAGGAACAUCAGUGGCGAAGGCGACUAUCUGGCACAUAACUGACGCUGAGGAGCGAAAGCGUGGGUAGCAAACAGGAUUAGAUACCCCAGUAGUC